AAUACAUACAUACAUACAUACAUACAUAUAUAUAUAUAUAUAUAUAUAUAUAUAUAUAUUCCAGCUACUAUACUCUUAUGAGUACGAUCGCCUUCGUACUCAUAAGUCGUUUUCGAUGAUAGAGCUUCCGAAUCGACUAUGCAUAUCGUUAAACGUUAUUUACAGCAUUUAAAACUUCUAGAAAUCAAAUUUUAUAAUUUUUCGAUAUCAUUUAUCUUACGAUCAAAAGGUCACAAAAUUGAUAAUUUUUAACAGCCGGUAUGGGAUACUUGCUAGUUUAACGGUGUAAAAGAAUCGGAAUUUGUUGAAUUUUUGAUAGAAAAUUAUAUUCACUACCUAGAUAAAGAUCAAUAACUUCGAUCUUAAAUUGAAGGAUCCGAUCAUCCAUUUUUAGAACGUUGUUCAAUUUUGACCGUUCAGUUUAUGCUCGCUUGAUAGACUUUAUUAUGAUUUCGAAAAUUUACGAAAUUUAUUUUCUAGAAGUUUCAAAUACUCUAGAUCAUAUUUAACGGAGUGGAUCGUCGAUUCGGAAGCUCCAUAAUCGAAAACAACUUAUGAGUACGAAUGCUCCAAUACUCAUAAGAGUAUAGUAGCUCUACUCUCUCUCUCUCUCUCUCUCUCUCUCUCUCUCUCUCUCUCUAUAUAUAUAUAUAUAUAUAGUCCAGCUGGGAUUCUAUCGAUAGCACCAAGGGCUUGGUGCUAUCGAGUUUUCUACCGUUAGAUUUAACCAUUUGAUUAUUUUUAUCCAUUAGAUUAUACUAUUCAACCAACCACCCAUUCAACCCUAGGUGGCCCACAUCAUCCUAAUCGCACAUUUCUCAAUCCAAUGGCUAAAAAACUAAUAGUACCAACAACUUGGUGCUAUUGAUAGUAUUCCAGCCUAGUUCUAUAUAUAUAUAUAGAGAGAGAGAGUUGAGCUAUGAUACUUUUACAAGUAUCACCAUCAUGGUGCUAUUAGGUUUUAAGCCAUUGGAUCUACUUUUUGAUUAUUAAUAGUUCUUGGAUUAAACACUAUUCCACCUACCACCACUUACCACCAUCAUCUCAACCUCACAUCUCUCCAUCCAAGGGCUAAAAACACACAAGUAUCACCCCCAUGAUACUUUUACAAGUAUUCUAGCCCUACUCUAUAUAUAUAUAUAUAUAUAUAUAUAUAUA
rnacentral:lncRNA from 1 species